rnacentral:rRNA from 1 species
CUACGGGUCGCAGCAGGGACGGAAACUAUACAAUGCGCGCAAGCGUGAUAUGGGGAAUCCGAGUGAUGGACCACGCGUUCAUCUUUUCUCAAGUGUAAAUAGCUUGGGGAAUAAGGGCCGGGCAAUAUCGGUGCCAGCCGCCGCGGUAACACCGAAGGCUCGAGUGGUGUCCACGAAUACUGGGCCUAAAGAGCUCGUAGCUGGUCUGGUAAGUUCUCUGUGAAAUCUUCAGGCUUAACCUGGAGGCGUGCAGAGGAUACUGCCAUGACUUGGGAGUGGGGGAGGUCAGGAGUACUUGUGGGGUAGUGGUAAAAUACUGUAAUCCUGCAAGGACUAUCAGUGGCGAAGGCGCCUGACCAAAACACGUCCGACAGUGAGGAGCGAAGGCUAGGAGAACGAAUCGGAUUAGAUACCCCUGUAGUC